rnacentral:rRNA from 1 species
GAUGAACGCUGGCGGCGUGCUUAAUACAUGCAAGUCGAGCGAACAGACGAGGAGCUUGCUCCUCUGACGUUUGCGGCGGACGGGUGAGUAACACGUGGAUAAUCUACUUCUAAUACUGGGAUAACUUCGGGAAACCGGAUCUAAUACCGGAGAAUAUAUUGAACCGCAUGGUUCAAUAGUGAAAGACGGUUUUGCUGUCACUUAUAGAUGGAUCCGCGCCGCAUUAGCUAGUUGGUAAGGUAACGGCUUACCAAGGCAACGAUGCGUAGCCGACCUGAGAGGGGGAUCGGCCACACUGGAACUGAGACACGGACCAGACGCCUACGGGAGGCAGCAGUAGGGAAUCUUCCGCAAUGGGCGAAAGCCUGACGGAGCAGCGGCGCGUGAGUGAUGAAGGUCUUCGGAUCGUAAAACUCUGUUAUUAGGGAAAAACAAAUGUGUAAGUAACUAUGCACGUCUUGACGGUACCUAAUCAGAAAGCCACGGCUAACUACGUG